rnacentral:lncRNA from 1 species
CACGCGCGCUACGUCCCUCAGACUGGCUGCCCCCGAGGGUUCGCCCCCAAAUCCUGUCAGUCCACGGCCUUGAUGGAGCGGCCCCCGUGGGACGACCCUGUUGAUUGUGCUAGCGGAUGUUGUCUCCAUUCUGGAUCUGGGAAAAACUGUGGAGUGAAAGCCGGACCUGUUAGGGUUGGGACCUGAAAGCGGACUUUUUCGCUCUCAGACGGGCCCCAGACGGGAGCUCUUUCAGGCCAGUGGUUUGUUGUUCAUCAAGAUAUCCAAGUACCCGGCAACAUUCCUGGCAUAUAAUAGGAAGGCAGAUCUGGUGAAUGAAUGAAUGAAUGGCGGUAUCUGGAGCAGAGACAAUGUAUGUAUAUAUUGCUAUUUAUAUAAUGUCUGCCCCCCCAGUCAUUUUGCCCUUCAGCCCCAAAAUGGCAUAGCAAAACCCCCCUUCCAGUAAGACGCUUAAGAUGAUUCAAUUCCUUGAGAUCCUUCUAUUUUUUUAAGUGUUAUUGCAAUAUAUUGAUAUACAAUAAACUGUACAUAUUUAAAGUGUGCAUUUGGUUUUUUUGCUAGUACUUGUUUGCUUUUUUUUAAAAUUAUACUUUAAGUUCUGGGAUACACAUGCAGAACGUGCAGGUUUGUUACAUAGGUAUACACGUGCCAUGGUGGUUUGCUGCAAGUGUGCACUUUUAUAUGUUUUGACAAAUGUAUAGACCUGUGAAAACAAUACUAUAAUUAUUUGUAAUUAUUAUCAUUUAUGGAGAAAAUGAAAUGCUUAAAAAAUAAAAUUAAAUUAAAAGUACUAUAAUUCUACUAUCCAGACACAACCAUUGAUAAGAACUUAUAUUUCAAAACAG